UACAGAGGGGGCAAGCGUUGUUCGGAAUUACUGGGCGUAAAGGGCGCGUAGGCGGCCUGUUAAGUCGGACGUGAAAUCCCCGGGCUCAACCCGGGAACUGCGUCCGAUACUGGCAGGCUUGAAUCCGGGAGAGGGAUGUGGAAUUCCAGGUGUAGCGGUGAAAUGCGUAGAUAUCUGGAGGAACACCGGUGGCGAAGGCGGCAUCCUGGACCGGUAUUGACGCUGAGGUACGAAAGCGUGGGGAGCAACAGG
rnacentral:rRNA from 1 species